UACGGGGGGGGCAAGCGUUGUUCGGAAUUACUGGGCGUAAAGGGCUCGUAGGCGGCCAAUUAAGUCGGACGUGAAAUCCCCAGGCUCAACCUGGGAACUGCGUCCGAUACUGGAUGGCUUGAAUCCGGGAGAGGGAUGCAGAAUUCCAGGUGUAGCGGUGAAAUGCGUAGAUAUCUGGAGGAACACCGGUGGCGAAGGCGGCAUCCUGGACCAACAUUGACGCUGAGGAGCGAAAGCCAGGGGAGCAAACGGG
rnacentral:rRNA from 1 species